rnacentral:rRNA from 1 species
UACGUAGGGUGCAAGCGUUAAUCGGAAUUACUGGGCGUAAAGCGUGCGCAGGCGGUUCCGCAAGGCAGAUGUGAAAUCCCCGGGCUCAACCUGGGAACUGCAUUUGAAACUACGGGGCUAGAGUGUGUCAGAGGGGGGUGGAAUUCCACGUGUAGCAGUGAAAUGCGUAGAGAUGUGGAGGAACACCAAUGGCGAAGGCAGCCCCUGGGAUGACACUGACGCUCAUGCACGAAAGCGUGGGGAGCAAACAGG